UAUGUAACACGAGACACCCCAAUUUGUAACAAUAAACCUAGAGCGCCAAAAAUCAUAAAUUCUUGGUGAAAAUAACAAUUCUGGCGUGGGACCGAUCAUAAAUCGAUCGAAAACCAUUAGACAUAAACAUCCGCCACAAUCGUUAUUCCCACCAAAUGCCCAAAUAGCCAACGCAGCUCAAAUUCAGGCUCUUAGAAUAUUCCAGAAACUCAUUAAAGAGAAUGAGAGCAUUGUUUAAAGAGAGCGAGCUAAUGAUCUUGAGCCUCAGCCGAGGUUUGCUAAGCGUUGACAAGACUUAAUAGACUUAAUAAGACUUAAUAAUUGAGUUCUACUGACGACUUCGAUCCGUCAAGUUGCAUCGUGCACAACUGUAAAAUUCCAAUAAGUCGCGCCUACUGUUAAUAAAGAUAUUUUUUUUCAAGUAACGCGUAGUGACUUAUUUAAUUAUAUAUAUAUAUAUGUUACCACGCUGGAAAAAAAGAAGCUUAUAUACAAAAAGAAAUUUAUGGCAGCCGCAACAGGAAAAACAACGGCAGCUUGAUGUCAGCAGCACGCCGUCUCUGGGUUGAGUCUGGGGAGGGGAGUGCUUGGAACGGACUCAUUUGACUAUCGCCACGCCUCUUGGCCUGUCCUGGAUAGCGUCGUGGACCGGCCGCCGUGGUUAUGGCUGGGCCACAGAUAACGGCUUGUGAGACGGAAGAAACAGCUGGCACUUUGAUGCUUAUUAUUUUAUUUUAUUUUCAUUUGGUUAUAUUAUCUUCUGAGCAUUAAUUGUAUGAAUAAAUUUAGGCGCACG